AUGGCUGAGGCCGGGGUGAAGCUGCUGCCGGUGCCGGUGCUGGUGCUGGUGCUGGUGCUGGUGCUGCUGGGCUGCAGCCUGGCUCACGGGUCCAGAUGUGACGUGAUGAACCAGCUGAGGCGCUCGUUGGACAAGCUGUCGGCGCCGGACCCGCACGGACUGGACGGGGAGCACUUCAUGGCCAAGCUGGUGUGUUACGCCAACGUGGCCAACGGCCUCAACACCAGCGCCGUGACGCAGCUCGACGGCCGCGGCCCCAACGUCACCUUCUACGGGACCUUCCAGCUCCCGAACGACCUGGUCUGCAGCGACGGCACCGUCGCCUCACGGAACCUGUGUGAACAGGACUGCAGCAACUUCGUCAACAGUGACAUUGAAGACGACGCCUUGUGCCUGUUUAGGCUCCUCCUCCUCUUCCUUGAACACGGCUUUGAAGCAGACCAGAAAAUACAGCAAUACAUCCAGCUCAUCUUCAACCCGGCCUGUGCCAACGCCCUGGACGACGGCUACGCCUGCUGA
rnacentral:lncRNA from 1 species